CCGGCGGCGGCGGGGGGAGCGGGACAAAGGGAGCGCGCAGUCGCCGGGCGCGCGUCCCCGCCUUCCGCCUGCGUAAUGGUGGAGAGGAUUGCUCGCUUUCUUAGGAGCCGACGAGCCGGGCCCCCACCCCCCAGGGCCUCCACCCGCCUCUGCUGCAGCGGCAAAGCCGCCGGGAAUCUCGGGGAGACCGGGUAUCAGCAACCCCUCCUCCCAGUCCCGUCCCGCACGCCUGGCAGGUUGCUGGGUGCAGCUUCUAAGAGGCAUCCGUGAAAGCUCUGCCACUGUUGGAAGCUCCUGCAGCCGGGGCACCCGCAACACAGGAGCCCUAGCAACGUUUCAGAACCGAAGGGGUCACACGGUGUUCCUGUGUCUGAAGUCCUUCCUGCUGCUAUACCUCCAAGCUACAACUAAGGAGUUAACAUAAUUUCACGGGCUCUCUAGCUUCCCAGUUGCCCAUACCAGAGGAGGCUGACAUAUAAACCUGUGAUCAUGCCUGAAGGACCACACGCAACAGUACAUGAGAGGAUGGAAGGUGGAGGUGGUCCUUUUGCAAUGGAAGGUUAUCACCCUUACAUAAAAGGAAAAGAAGUGAACAAUGGGGAAGAGAUCACCAUCAUUGAGUAUCCACAGAUGACACUGUAAUUCAACAAAUAAACUGGCAGAUUUUGACUACUGGGGAAAUGCAUCUUUCUAUUCCAGAAUGUCUUAUCAAGCAGCAAGAAUUUGGCCAGGACUAGAAGACAGUGCUACCACAUGGAGUCAGUAUGCAUCCUGUAAGAAGCAGCCAAGUGCCCAGCAUGUGUUCCUCUUACACUCUGCUUAUCACAACCGUGGACCUAGCUUGUUGUACUGGACUUUCUGUUUCCCAUCUGCCUCACCCACUAAUACCAUGUGAGUUCCAGAAAGGCAGAAAGGCAUCAUGCCUUACGACUCUUUUUAUCUCAGCUCCCAGCUCAGUGCUAACACCUACUAGGUACUCCAUAAAUGUUUCCUGACAAAAGAAUGCAAGCAUGCUUAAUUGGCCAAAUAGAAGGAAUAGCCUUUUUUCUAUUAUAUACUAGAAUUUGUCAUUUUUGUGUGAAAAGUAUGGACUUUGUUGCAUUUUUAAUUGAAACUACAUGUAUAAAAUAAUUAAGAUAAUCAAUUUCCAAUAUUAUGACAUGAAGUACCUUGUUCUCUAUAAUUGGAAGAGAUUAUACAUUGCUUUUCUUGCCCAAGUUCCUCAUUUAUGAAUCUCCAUUAACAAUAAACUAACUGCUACAUUUAUAGGCUAUGAAGUAGUAGUAUAUCCUUGGGUCGAUGAGAAAAAAAAUAGGUUUAUUAAACUCAGUAAAAUAAUAUGCCCCUUAGAACCAAAUUUCUCUAGCUGUAUCAAUAAAUCACCAAUCAUCUUUCAAAAAUGGCAGGGACAAGAAGAAUACCCCUGAACCAUACAGUCUGCAUAUUGUAAGAGUAAAAUAUUAAUCAGAUAUUAGAAAACUUCCUAACAAGCAUGAAAUUUAUUUCAAAUAGACAUUUGCUAAAUUCAUCAUACCGUGAAUCUCAAAUCACUCUCUGAUCACCUAUUUCCUGUUAAGUGUGCAGUUGGCCUCUGGACUUCAGUCAGAGGUAAUCUGGCACUUUCAGAUUACCAUGAGCUGUGUAAGGCCACCAGAUGCCAAAUGUUAAGUUAUCACUCAAAGAUAAAUGAUACUUGAGUGCCCUAAAUAAGUUUAUACCUCUAAAAAUGCUUACCGGACCAGAAGACUAGUUUGCCAACGUGUCUGGUUGUCAACGUGUCCAUGCCCAAGUCAAUAAGAAUUAAUCUCUAUAGCCUCUGUUUCCAAGGAAGUAAAUCUCUAGGUUCUCCAUGUUAACUAUACCGUAGAAUAAGCUAGCAAGGCCUGGACAUCAUGACUUUUCAAGUUCCAAGUGUCUCUAAUGUGCAAUGAGAAACAUAACUUCAGGGCCUCUAUUCUUAAAAUUAUAGGGGCACAGGUUAAAUGCACCCCUUCUUCCUGCAUUCUCUCACAUCUAUCGGUGAAUGAGCUGAAUCCUUUCUACCCCAGAUUCUGUUCCUCUCCCCUUUCAGCCAUCAUGGCUUUCUUCCACAACACUGCUUGAGACUUUUGUUACCUAGAUUUCAAGCAACUUCCUCAGUGCAGGUGGAAAACAUUCACAUCAUAGAUAUAAUAGCUGAGAUUGAGAAAGAGUGCCUUCAAAUUCUACAGAAGGAAUGCCAUCCCAAACAGUCCACAUUCACUUCCUGUGUAUACUGAACUCAUUUCUUAACACACGAUUACUCAGUUGUGAGUCAUGCCUCUAUAACCAAGUAUCACCGACUUCUAUUGAUUCUAACUCCUUAAUCUCUCUCAUGUGAAUCUCUUCCUUCCCUUCCAUGUUACUUUGCUUUAGUCCAGGCCCACACCAGCGUUUCUCAUAGAAAAGCAGUUCAUUGGCCUUCAAACUAUUCUUUCAUUAUAAUUCAGCUAACCUCCCUUCAAAUCAUUCUCCACGACGCAGAGUGCUGUUUUCAAGAGGAAAUCUGAUAUUACUACUCCUUGGUUUAAUAAUAACAAUAUUGCAUUUCUUUUAGAAUCAAAUCCACACUUCUCAAGCCCUUCUUAUACCAUUUGCUGUUCCCCUAAACAUGUCACAUGAUCUUAUGCCCCUCUGUACUUGCACAGACUCCUACUACAUUUUUAAGAUUCAUCUGAGAGAUAACUUCUUUGCUACCCAGUCUGAAUUACAUGCUUAGCUAGGUAUACAGCAUCCCAUGCUUACAUCUAACAAUAAUACCUAACACAUAGCAUUAUGAUUUUUACUAUAAUUGACGUUGAGCUUAUUCAGAGUAGGGGCUGUAUCUCUUGUCUUUUUGUGCUUUAGGGCUUACAUAGGACAUGUAUACAGUAAGUGUUCAGUAAAUGUUUAUUGAGUGAAUAUCCUGUUGUUUUAUAUGUCCAUGCUUUGCCUGUACCGUUACUCUUUCCUGGCUACCUCCGAUCUCCGUUCACAGUAUUAACACCUCCAUUGAAACCCAGCUGAAGAAUCUUUUCCUUUGUAAAGCCUGGACUUGGUUUCUGAGGAGAUGUUAAUCAUACCCACCUUGUAGCCACCAUUAUAUCUUGUAUAUACUUCUAAAUAUAGUAGCUACCACUCCA